GGGUAAGGGGCUAUGGAAUGCAUCAUAUCAAUGACGGGUCCCCACGAGUGUAGUAAAACAAGGAUGGGUGUGUGUGUAUGUGUCUGCGCGCGCGCUCGAUGGCUUUGAUGUUUGAGGCGUAAUUGUGACGUGAUGAUUCUUUAUGACGAAUUCUGUUCUACAGUCAAUUUCUCACCUGAGCAGAGACAGUGAACAGAUCGAAAGAGACUUUCACCGAGAAAACUACGGAGAAAUAACUCACCAGAAGAAAGUACCCCAUUGUGUUUGAAUGGAUACUUCAGCGCUCGACAUGGAUAACAAGAUUCCAUCAGAUGAACUGGGAGAAUUGAGGUGCAGCGAUUUAGACGUUCCCCUGUUCACACCAGACGACUUCGAGCCAAUUAUCAAUUUCUAUUUACAGGAUAUGACAACUGAGCAGUGGAUGUUAUUGGAAGCUGGACAGGUAUACACAGACUUGGCCGAUCUGCUAUCUCAAAUGUGUCAUGAGAUGGUAGAUGCGGUCAGUGUCGUAU